GGGCAUGAGUGAAGAAAGAUGAAACUCAUAACAAGAAAUUAAAAAGAACUUUAUUUUUCAAAGCAACUUUUUAUAUUAAAAACUCCAUCAAACCAAAACUUGUAACAAAGACACUGUGAAAGGGGUGACCAGCACUAAUAGGCCUUCAGAGCAGCUUAACAUUGACCAAAUGAAACAUUGAUAGAAAUAAUUCAGUCUCUUGUUCAGUGUCACUGUUCAGCUUUGUGUUACCCACUGUGUUUUUACCAUAGACUGUAUAUACUAUGGACAACUUGGUUCCACCUCCCGUCAAUAUACGGAUUUGAAGCCGAAUUGCUCUCAGGAUUUUCGCCACUUCCUGGAACCACCACUUGCACCGUAGUGUUGCACACACUCCACCACUUGUGCAGUAGCGUUGUAUGCAUGCGACAGAAGAGUCGCAGAGAGUUGCUGUUAUGACGCUUGGCUCAAACAGCUUAUCCCCGGAGUGAGCUAUGCAAUCUUCGUACACUCAUAGGCUGUAUCAAGUGUCAAUCAAAGAAAACAUGAACCCCCUAAUAAUUUUUAAAAAUGUAGUUAUAAAUUUCUAAAGUUUGUCCACAACUUCAUAGGGAUUGAUGGAGGAGGCAGGAUUUAUGACCUAUACUGCAGCCCGUCACCAGAGGGUGCUGUUCUCAUGGUGGCUUCACCAAACGAGGAGUCAGACAGCGCCCAUUCUAUAUACAGUCUAUGGUGUUUAUGUACCAUCUUAUUCAGCAAAAUCUCUUGCCAGGUUGCCAAAAGAUCUCUCCAAAUAUUUUCAGCAAUUGGAGAGGCAAUUUUUAAAAGAACUGAAAAUAAUACAGUAACAGACUUUGACAUCUGCCCACUUAAAAGUCAUUUAGAUGCUACAAUUAGCCCACAAGGACUGUUUAUACUACUAGUAACCCUCCCAAGUGAUUCAUCCACUGGGUCCAAGAUGUUUGGUUUGUAAGAACUCUGAUUGAUAGUAGGUGGGUUGCAGUGAUAUACCACAUAGAAUAGAUGAGCAUCGUUGCACAUUUUUGCACAACAUACAGCACUGAAACGAAUGUUAAUAACUUAAACAUGUUUUCUACAUGGCAGCAUGGUGGUGCAGCAGGUAGUGAACGUGCCUCACAGCAAGAAGGUUGAUAGUUUAAUCCCCGGGUUGAGCGAGGGCCUUUCUGUGUGAAGUUUGCAUGUUCUUCCUGUGCAUGUGUGGGCUCUCUCUGGGCACUCUGGCUUCCUCCCACAGACCAAAAGCAUGCUCAAUAGGUUAAUUGGUGACUCUAAAUUGUCCUUAGGUAUGAGUAUGAGCAUGAAUGAUUGUCUGUCUCUCUAUGUGGCCUUGCAAUUGCCUGGUGACCGAUUCAGGGUGUAUUCCACCUCUUGCCCGAUGACAGCUGGGAUAGGCUCCAGCCCACCUGUGACCCCAAAAGGGAUAAGCGUUAUCGAAAAUGGAUGGAUGGAUGUUUUCUACACAUCCAGAAUUGCCCUCAUAAACAAUUCCGGUUCAUUACAUGAGUAGUUUAAAGUGAAACAGCCAUCCACCUGUGAUGAACAAUGAGGACUCAACUGCGACUCGGACUUAGACUGGGAGAAUUCUUUGGUGAACCAAGCCUGAUUUAGACUUUUAGACUCAAAUCAAACAUGUGAUUGUGCUACAACACAGUACUGACAACAUGACAGCUCCCCAAAAGUGAAGCAGGAUAUUUAUGAUAAGCACAAAACGUAAGGGAAUUUGUGUUUGGUAAAUGAUGUCUUUGUAGUAACAAUGCUUCUUGGCUAUUAAUCUUAUACUCUUUGAAAGCUUGUUUAUUCCCUUUUUAAAAUUGUGCAUCAUUUGUAGAACAUGCAUUUGUUGGAAAUGCAGCAGAGCUCAGUAUGUAGGUUCCACACAUUUAAAAAAAUGUCAAAUCCUCUCUGCCAGUGCUAAACAGCUUGUUCUGCCAUUGACUCUUGUUGGGGUGUUGUUUGGUGAAUUGGGUGAUUGAAGUCUUACAAAUAAAGCAUAGUGACAGUUUAACAGUCUAUUCAUUUAACAAACAAGAUCCUCAUACAGUAGGAUGUAGAGAAACCAUACACAGUCACAACAGCCUGGCACCUCCUCCACAAGCUGGUCACCAGCCUUGUUACACAUUGCUGUGGGAUAGCAUCCCAUUCUUGACCAGCAUUUGUCAAAAGUCAGCCGGUGUGGUUGUGUUGGUCACUCUGGAACAAGCAGCACACCCAAGCUGAUCCCACAAGUGUUCAGGGGGUUGAGGUCAGGACUGCUGGCUGGCCAUUCCUGUCUCCCCACUCCCAAAUUCUGGAGGUAGUCUCAGAUAAACCACAGUCUGUGGGGGGCAGGCUAUGGCUGUUGCAGCUGUGUUUGGUUGCUUUACAUGCUACUGAGGCUCUUAUAAUAACUUUAUUUUAUUUAUAUAGCACUUUUAAAAUUAAGAGUUUAUAAAGUGCUUUAACAUGCAGGAAAACAAAGAUAAAAACCAAACAAAAUCCAACCAUAAAAUCCAACAACAAGAGAACAUUUUGGGGUGUCCUCAUGUCCUAAUGUGACAUUAUUAGCAAUAGAUAAAAUAAAAUAAAAUAAAAUAAAAUAGAUAUCGCUGGAAGACAUAUAAGCUUUGAUAAGUGUUACAUGAGCUGAGAUGUCAUUAAAACAAAGACACCAUAAGAACAUGUGAUACUGGGCCAACACAGGAACCCAACCACAAAUGUAUAAGGUGUGAACAAAGUUGCAUAUAAAUCCAUUAUUCCUACCUAUUAAAAUCCUUAAAUGUAAAUUAUGUACAUUGGAUUAUACAAUAGAUUAUAGAACAUGACUGGUAUUUAUGUCAGAAGCAAUGUUAAAGCGCAUUAUUCUAUAUGUCAUAUCAAGAUUUACAUCUGACCAGUAACAAUAUUUGAUUUGUUAUUCUGUCAUUGGUGUUUAGAUCAUGCUGAUAUCGGUCUUGUAAGGCCUGGUGCUAAUAAGAUGCCAACUAUAUAGAGAUACAAUUGAUAGACUGAUUAACCAGUCUAUCUCUAAUAAGAAGAGUAUAACACUAUCAGCGCUGCAUUCAUCAUAUCAACAGAGAAGAUGACGAACAGUUCAAGAGAAAUAAUCAACACUACCACCAGAGUCACUGGUAUUUUAUGACCAAGACUGUUGCCUUUAAACCAACACUAGAAGCUGAACUUUGCUGACCAAACAAUUCUGUUGCAUUUAAAGAACACAGAAACCAUGUUUGGGGGAUUAUACCAACAUCUAUGUUUGUAUAUAUAUUCUAUGCUCUUAAACUUUGCUGAGGUUAAGUAUGGGCAUCCACCAUAUUAACAUUAUACUUUUGUCCUGAAAAAGAGAUAAGCAUAAAAGUUCUCCUUUAAGGGAAAGCUAGUUAAGAGUCUGUCUAAUAUAUGCAAGCGCUGCAGGUUAAUGGCAGGUGAAACCAGAUAUAAUUUUUUACCCCUAUGGCAUAUUCAGAGGCAAUAACAGUACAGCACGAGCAGCUGUUUUGAAGCUGAAUAAAGCAAAGCACUCCACUCUGUUAAGCACCAUUGCACCUUCCUAUCUCAUUAACAUAAAGCUUUCACUUCAGUGCAUUCACAAGCUGUUACAGAUUUCACACUGAAGUUGUGUAAUCAACCUCAGCCUGUAAUUCAUCAUCAGAUGCCAGUUGUUUGAUCUCUGAACUAACGCCAUACACAGAAUUUUUCCAACGCACGUCAUCUGCAUUUAGAUAACAAAUUUAAGAAUACAAGUUGUUCUAGGAAAAAAAAAAGUGGAGAUAGCUGCAGCCCACCUCGACUUCGACUACAAAGCUUUUUCUUUCACUGACAUCGCACAUCGUAAUUUGAAUAUUAUGACAACUGAGUGACAAUAAGGCGUUUGAUGAUUCAUUUCAAUAGCAGGGAGGCGUAUCACUAAUGAUGGGGUAUACGGUUGUAAACUUGAAACGUCUUAUGACAGGGAAAAAGAAAAUAACUUUCAAAGGCAUCUCAGCUUUUCAAAAAAACUGCAAAUUUUGCUCCUCUGACAAACAUUCUUGGGAGAAGAAAGAGUGUAAGGUGCCCCCUUCCUCCUCUUGCCUCCCUCAUUUCUUCACACAUCACCCACCCUCCUCACAGUGUGUUUCUCAGCUGUUGGUUUACUGAUUAGCCUGAUCCAUAAAUAAGUAAUCAGAUCGAGAGCAGCGACAAUCCACCGGCCCUUAUUAUCAGGCCAUUCUAUCGCUCUCACGCAGCACAAAUGCAUAUAAACAUGCACAUCCACUACCCAAUUUUAGACCCAUUUAACCCCCUCUUUAUGUGUUGUGUUUUAAAACAGUGUCGUAACUCUGUGUGUGUGUGUGUGUGUGUGUGUGUGUGUGUGUGUGUGUGUGUGUGUGUGUGUGUGUGUGUGUGUGUGUGUGUGUAUUCAUGUGUGUGUGUAAAUGUGAGAGGAGGGCAAGAAGAGAGGGACAGUAUGAUGGAGAAAAAAGAGAAACAUACAGUCGCUGUGAAUGUGACUAAACUGACUGCAGCAGAAUGACUCACCCUGUUGCUAUGGCAACCUAAAGGCAAGCUCUUCUCUAAUGUGCGAUUUCAACUGCUGGUGGCUGCCAGCUAACGGGGAGAAGAUGUAAGUUUCCGGAAAAACCAUUUAAGGAAAAAGGGCUUGCAGAGGGCGGUGUUUGGGCGCGUGGAGUGAACAUAAAAGCCUCUAUAGCAUAAAAAAGCAAAA
rnacentral:lncRNA from 1 species